rnacentral:rRNA from 1 species
AUUGAACGCUGGCGGCAUGCCUUACACAUGCAAGUCGAACGGCAGCGCGGGGCAACCUGGCGGCGAGUGGCGAACGGGUGAGUAACAUAUCGGAACAUACCCUAGAGUGGGGAUAACGUAGCGAAAGUUACGCUAAUACCGCAUACGCACUAAGGUGGAAAGUGGGGGAUCUUCGGACCUCAUGCUCAUGGAGUGGCCGAUAUCUGAUUAGCUAGUUGGUGAGGUAAAGGCUCACCAAGGCGACGAUCAGUAGCUGGUUUGAGAGAACGACCAGCCACACUGGAACUGAGACACGGUCCAGACUCCUACGGGAGGCAGCAGUGGGGAAUUUUGGACAAUGGGGGCAACCCUGAUCCAGCAAUGCCGCGUGAGUGAAGAAGGCU